UUCAGCGGCGGACGGGUGAGUAAUGCCUAGGAAUCUGCCUGGUAGUGGGGGAUAACGUCCGGAAACGGGCGCUAAUACCGCAUACGUCCUGAGGGAGAAAGUGGGGGAUCUUCGGACCUCACGCUAUCAGAUGAGCCUAGGUCGGAUUAGCUAGUUGGUGGGGUAAAGGCCUACCAAGGCGACGAUCCGUAACUGGUCUGAGAGGAUGAUCAGUCACACUGGAACUGAGACACGGUCCAGACUCCUACGGGAGGCAGCAGUGGGGAAUAUUGGACAAUGGGCGAAAGCCUGAUCCAGCCAUGCCGCGUGUGUGAAGAAGGUCUUCGGAUUGUAAAGCACUUUAAGUUGGGAGGAAGGGCAGUAAGUUAAUACCUUGCUGUUUUGACGUUACCAGCAGAAUAAGCACCGGCUAACUUCGUGCCAGCAGCCGCGGUAAUACGAAGGGUGCAAGCGUUAAUCGGAAUUACUGGGCGUAAAGCGCGCGUAGGUGGUUCAGCAAGUUGGAUGUGAAAUCCCCGGGCUCAACCUGGGAACUGCAUCCAAAACUACUGAGCUAGAGUACGGUAGAGGGUGGUGGAAUUUCCUGUGUAGCGGUGAAAUGCGUAGAUAUAGGAAGGAACACCAGUGGCGAAGGCGACCACCUGGACUGAUACUGACACUGAGGUGCGAAGCGUGGGGAGCAAACAGGAUUAGAUACCCUGGUAGUCCACGCC
rnacentral:rRNA from 1 species